rnacentral:lncRNA from 1 species
AUAUUUCUGAAUAAAAGUUAAUAAAAUUCUCAUUAAUAUUUGAGAAAAAAAAUUCUCCUUUAUACAUAAUUUAUUUAUAUUGUCCACAAAAAUUUAUAUGCAUUCAUCAAAACGCCAAAAUAUCCCUAAACUUCCAAUAACAUUUUGGUUUAGGUCUCCUACUAGAAUAAAAUUUUUUGUUUGUACCUGCUUCAUCUAUGGCUAUGUUUGUUUCGUCAAAAGUAGAGAAAUAUCCAUUUUCACUGCUUCGUUUACUGCUACUUCACCUUCUGUCGAAACUCAAACUCUCCAAAAAUAGCAUAAUUACUUCGUCCCACCUCAAGCCUAAGUUAAUUACGAAAAA